rnacentral:misc_RNA from 1 species
GAAAUUCGAUAAGUAGUGUGAAUUGCAGAAUUCAGUGAAUCAUCGAAUCUUUGAACGCACAUUGCGCCCUUUGGUAUUCCAAAGGGCAUGCCUGUUCGAGCGUCAUUUGUACCCUCAAGCUUUGCUUGGUGUUGGGCGUCUUGUCUCCAGUUCGCUGGAGACUCGCCUUAAAGUAAUUGGCAGCCGGCCUACUGGUUUCGGAGCGCAGCACAAGUCGCGCUCUCUUCCAGCCAAGGUCAGCAUCCACAAAGCCUUUUUUCAACUUUUGACCUCGGAUCAGGUAGGGAUACCCGCUGAACUUAAGC